GGUUCCAUAGUGUAGUGAUUAGCACAUCUGCUUUACACGUGGAAGGUCCUGGGUUCAUGCCCCCAUGGAGCCA
rfam:Pteropus alecto contig31528, whole genome shotgun sequence.